AGUGAACGCUGGCGGUAGGCCUAACACAUGCCAGUCGAACGGCAGCACAGUAAGAGCUUGCUCUUACGGGUGGCGAGUGGCGGACGGGUGAGGAAUACAUCGGAAUCUACUUUUUCGUGGGGGAUAACGUAGGGAAACUUACGCUAAUACCGCAUACGACCUACGGGUGAAAGCAGGGGAUCUUCUGACCUUGCGCGAUUGAAUGAGCCGAUGUCGGAUUAGCUAGUUGGCGGGGUAAAGGCCCACCAAGGCGACGAUCCGUAGCUGGUCUGAGAGGAUGAUCAGCCACACGGGAACUGAGACACGGUCAAGACUCCUACGGGAGGCAGCAGUGGGGAAUAUUGGACAAUGGGCGCAAGCCUGAUCCAGCCAUACCGCGUGGGUGAAGAAGGCCUUCGGGUUGUAAAGCCCUUUUGUUGGGAAAGAAAAGCAGCAGGUUAAUACCCCGCUGUUCUGACGGUACCCAAAGAAUAAGCACCGGCUAACUUCGUG
rnacentral:rRNA from 1 species